rnacentral:rRNA from 1 species
GAUGAACGCUGGCGGCGUGCUUAACACAUGCAAGUCGAACGAUGAAAGCGGGAGCUUGCUCCUGCUGGAUUAGUGGCGAACGGGUGAGUAACACGUGAGCAAUCUGCCCCGAACUCUGGGAUAAGCGUUGGAAACGACGUCUAAUACCGGAUACGACACGCGAAGGCAUCUUCUGCGCGUGGAAAGAAUUUCGGUUCGGGAUGAGCUCGCGGCCUAUCAGCUUGUUGGUGGGGUGAUGGCCUACCAAGGCGACGACGGGUAGCCGGCCUGAGAGGGCGACCGGCCACACUGGGACUGAGACACGGCCCAGACUCCUACGGGAGGCAGCAGUGGGGAAUAUUGCACAAUGGGCGGAAGCCUGAUGCAGCGACGCCGCGUGAGGGACGACGGCCUUCGGGUUGUAAACCUCUUUCGACCCUGACGAAGCGCAAGUGACGGUAGGGGGAGAAGAAGCGCCGGCCAACUACGUGCCAGCCGCCGCCGUAACAC